rnacentral:rRNA from 1 species
AUCGAACGCUGGCGGCAGGCCUAACACAUGCAAGUCGAACGAGUGGCGGACGGGUGAGCAAUGUCUGGGAAACUGCCUGAUGGAGGGGGCUAACUACUGGAAACGGUAGCUAAUACCGCAUACCAUCGGAUGUGCCCAGAUGGGAUUAGCUAGUAGGUGGGGUAAAGGCUCACCCCGGCGACGAUCCCUAGCAGGUCUGAGGGGAUGACCAGCCACACUGGAACUGAGCCACGGUCCAGACUCCUAGGGGAGGCAGCAGUAGGGAAUAUUGCACAAUGGGCGCAAGCCUAAUGCAGCCAUGCCGCGUGUAUGAAGAAGGCCUUCGGAUUGUAAAGUACUUUCAGCGGGGAGGCGGUACCCGCAGAAAAAGCACCGGCUAACUCCGUGCCAGCAGCCGCGGUAAUAC